rnacentral:rRNA from 1 species
GAUUAAGUUAUUAAGGGCGCACGGUGGAUGCCUUGGCACUAGAAGCCGAUGAAGGACGUUACUAACGACGAUAUGCUUUGGGUAGCUGUAAGUAAGCGUUGAUC